rnacentral:lncRNA from 1 species
UGGAAAGUCUUGAAGCAGAAGCAAUAACUAUCUUUCAAGUGGGCUAUGGGAGAAUUAUGUCCAGAAAUGUUUGUAAAAGUAUGAGGCAAGAAUACACUUUAUACAUGCUGUAGAAGCAAGAUAAGCCACAACAUGAAGAAGGUUGAAAAUCGCCUUUUGUUACACCCAAUCCUGAUCUAUGUUUGGCUAUCUACAGUUGUGAGUCCAUAAUUUUAUGGGGGAAUAUAGUGUUAUGUUAGGCAAUCUGUUUAGAUGAAUAAGUUAAAGACAACUAUUAAUACUGUAUUCACACAAUAAUUACAGUUCUGGAGAAAAAUUGAGGUCCCAAAUCUCCCCCAGUCAUUUCCUUGGUACAGCCACUGAUUAAUUUAUUCAGUGGCAUGACACACAAAUGUGACUUUUAACUUCAGGAAAAAUCUCAACAUAAUAACCUAGUCUUGUUCACCUUUCAUCCGUUGACCACAUACAUGGAGGUUAUUUCUCUACAAACAAAUCUGACCAUGUAACUUCCAUAAUGGAAGCCCAAAAUUCACAGUAUGGCAUUAAAGUGCCCUCACUAUAUGAUUCUAACAUAUGCUGCCCAUGACUUACUUCUACUCUCUACUCAUACUUUUGACAUUUCAAGUAUUCGUUUCUUUCAAUAAAAUUUUAAUCAUCCUUGUUUCUAUGUAUGCUAUUCAACUUCUUAGUCUCACUCAAUCAUUAUCUACUGAGAGUAUUUCCCAUGACUUUUCACUUCAAGAAUAAUAAAAUACCCCACAUUAGAUAUGAUCUAUGACGGAUAAUACAUCUUCUCUCCCAGCACUUUUUCCCUUACGUAUUUGUCUGUUUCUUCUAGAUAUAGAGCUUUUUAAAGAUGUAGAAUGGAACUUAAUUCAUCUUUUUCUUUUCUAUUCCCCUUUACUAAUCUUCAAGCCUAGAAUCUACCAUAAGGUAGGGAUCAAUAAAUAUUUAGGGUAAAUUUAAUUCAAAUUUAAAAGGAUAUAGCUGGCAAUGGCAAAAACAACCCUGAGGAAAGAGAG